AAGCCCGAGUUCGCUCGCACACUUUGUGAUUCGAUUACUUGUCUAGGCCCUCAAUGCUCGUCUGGGCCUUGGGUGCGCUCCCUGAUCUCCUUGGCUUAAUCUCACUUGGACUGAAACGUGCUCGUCCCGGUAGAAUCUCUGAGCUGGAUAGCUCACGGACAAUGACAAUCGCACUUUCCCAGAAUUCUUAAACCAAAACCGAAACGCAAACUGUUAAGCCUGAUCUCAAAGAUAAGGCUUUGCAAGUCAGCUCGUAUUUGUGUUUGGAUCAGGUGCAGUCCUACAUUCUUGUUGCAGGUAUAUUGGUCACAGAAAUGCUGCUGAGAAUUAUAUUGUUCAUGAUCCUAUUCAUGCGGUACUGCUACGGUAUUAUAUCGAGCGCCAGUGCUUGUUCAAGUACACACGGCAGACUCUCGUGCGUGCUUGUAAAGCAAUUAUGAGGCUGUUCUAUUCUCUAAUUGCCCCUUUGAUGCCAUUUCUUUCAGUUUAAUAUUGAUGUUUUUCUGCCGACAAUACUGCUAUGUUUGGUGCAGUAUAUUUGGGAAAUAGCUUGAAAGAAGGGAGUUUGAUAAGGGAGGAUACACUAAAGCUGAUUUCUGAUGGACUAGAAGGAAGUUUAAUAGUUGUCUUGCAAGCCCUCAUAUCGUGCAGUCAUCGAGAGCAGAUGCUAUUUUGAUAUAAGUUGUCUUUUACUUUUUACCCUUACCAAAACAACUUAGGAGCAACAAGUUUGUAGAAACACCGGCAGCUAAUCAGGAAUGUAUUCAUUGUGGUGGUUGAUUUUGUGGCAUGCAUCUUUUCUUUGAUGUUCUGAAGUUUCUUGAGCACUCUUACAAUGUUUAUGCAUUACCGUGCAGAUAGAAGAAUAGCUACUUGCUUAGUUAUAUUUUAUUAGCUGUUAAAAGGGCAACGGAGUUGGGAUAUGUUGAUCUUGCUUAUUUUCCGGACCUCCUGAUGCCUGAGAUUUUACAUGGGGUGCAGGUAUGAUAGUGAUAUAGGUUUCCUUAUUCAUAUUUUGCCAUCCUUUUCAACAAUGAGACACCAAGUGUUGGUUGUUGUUUAUUCCCAAGACUUCAAAAAAUAUUAUGUAUCAGUCAUCCACACUACUCUCUGUGCAAAAACAUCUGGAUGCCAAUCUAUAUUAAACUUGUAAGAAAGG